GACAGAGGGUGCAAACGUUGCUCGGAAUCACUGGGCGUAAAGGGCGUGUAGGCGGGAAGGAAAGUCAGAUGUGAAAUCCCCCAGGCUCAACCUGGGAACUGCAUUUGAAACUCCCUUUCUUGAGUACCGGAGAGGAAAGUGGAAUUCCUGGUGUAGAGGUGAAAUUCGUAGAUAUCAGGAGGAACACCAGUGGCGGAAGGCGGCUGCGUCUGGGACGGUACUGACGCUGGAGACGCGAAAGCGUGGGGAGCGAACAGG
rnacentral:rRNA from 1 species